UGGAUGAGCCCGCGGCCUAUCAGCUUGUUGGUGGGGUGAGGGCCUACCAAGGCGGUGACGGGUAGCCGGCCUGAGAGGGCGACCGGCCACACUGGGACUGAGACACGGCCCAGACUCCUGCGGGAGGCAGCAGUGGGGAAUAUUGCACAAUGGGCGGAAGCCUGAUGCAGCGACGCCGCGUGAGGGAUGACGGCCUUCGGAUUGUAAACCUCUUCCUCCGGGACCAAGCCAAAUCCAUGUUCUUUUUAGGCCUGCACCCGCCUGCCCUUUUAUGA
rnacentral:rRNA from 1 species